rnacentral:rRNA from 1 species
UCGAGAAUCUUCCGCAAUGGACGAAAGUCUGACGGAGCGACGCCGCGUGUGGGAUGGAGGCCCUUGGGUUGUAAACCGCUGUCAGAGGGGAUGAAAUCUUCGGAGGUACUCCUCCGAAGUUGACAGAGCCUCAAAGGAAGCACGGGCUAAGUACGUGCCAGCAGCCGCGGUAACACGUACUGUGCGAACGUUAUUCGGAAUCACUGGGCUUAAAGGGUGCGUAGGCGGCGAUUCAAGUCAGGUGUGAAAUGCCUGAGCUCAACUGAGGCAUUGCGCUUGAAACUGAAUUGCUAGAGUAUCCCAGGGGUGUGCGGAACUGCCAGUGGAACGGUGAAAUGUGUUGAUAUUGGCAGGAACACCGGAGGCGAAAGCGGCACACUGGGGGAUAACUGACGCUGAGGCACGAAAGCCAAGGGAGCGAACGGGAUUAGAUACCCCUGUAGUCCCUGAGCGGGCUGGCAAGGCGCAU